UGGGGAAUAUUGGACAAUGGGCGCAAGCCUGAUCCAGCAAUGCCGCGUGAGUGAAGACGGCCUUAGGGUUGUAAAGCUCUUUUAGUGGGGAAGAUAAUGACGGUACCCACAGAAAAAGUCCCGGCUAACUUCGUGCCAGCAGCCGCGGUAAUACGAAGGGGGCGAGCGUUACUCGGAAUGAUUGGGCGUAAAGCGUGCGUAGGCGAUCAAGAAAGUUGGGAGUGAAAUCCUUGGGCUCAACCUAAGAACUGCUCUCAAUACUUCUUGAUUUGAGUGUUGUAGAGGAUAGCAGAAUUCCUGGUGUAGAGGUGAAAUUUGUAGAUAUCAGGAGGAAUACCGAUUGCGAAGGCAGCUAUCUGGGCAAAUACUGACGUUGUUGCACGAAAGCGUGGGGAGCAAA
rnacentral:rRNA from 1 species